AACGAACGCUGGCGGCAGGCUUAACACAUGCAAGUCGAACGGUUUUAGCAAUACAGCAGUGGCGCACGGGUGAGUAAUACUUGGGAACGUGCCUUUCAGCCUGGGAUAACCACGGGAAACUGUGGCUAACACCGGAUACUCCCUCCGGGGGAAAGUUUACGCUGAAAGAUCGGCCCAAGCCAGAUUAGGUAGUUGGUGAGGUAAUGGCUCACCAAGCCUACGAUCUGUAGCUGGUCUGAGAGGACGGCCAGCCACACUGGAACUGAGACACGGUCCAGACUCCUACGGGAGGCAGCAGUGGGGAAUAUUGGACAAUGGGGGAAACCCUGAUCCAGCCAUGCCGCGUGAAUGAUGAAGGCCUUAGGGUUGUAAAGUUCUUUUGUCAGGGAAGAUGAUGACGGUACCUGAAGAAUAAGCACCGGCUAACUUCGUGCCAGCCGCCGCGGUAA
rnacentral:rRNA from 1 species